rnacentral:rRNA from 1 species
UACGUAGGGUGCAAGCGUUGUCCGGAAUUAUUGGGCGUAAAGAGCUCGUAGGCGGUUUGUCGCGUCGAAUGUGAGAACCCGGGGCUCAACCCCGGGCCUGCAUUCGAUACGGGCAGACUAGAGUUCGGUAGGGGAGUCUGGAAUUCCUGGUGUAGCGGUGAAAUGCGCAGAUAUCAGGAGGAACACCGGUGGCGAAGGCGGGUCUCUGGGCCGUAACUGACGCUGAGGAGCGAAAGCGUGGGGAGCGAACAGG